rnacentral:lncRNA from 1 species
UGAGCUGUCCGGUAAUAGAAAGAAGCUGCAGAACCCUGUUGUCUUCAUCUUUUGUUUAACUCAUGCAACAUUUGAAAGCACGUUUGCCUACAAGAAAUAAAACUUAAGUUGUGAAAUGGCUUAUUAAUGAACUCAGAUGACAAGAAACCAAAACAGCGGGCCUGGCUGAAGGAUUCAUCCCUAGCCCUGAAAGCCAGCGGGGUCUUUCUGUAACAUCAAAGGCACAAACAAUUGAACCGACAUGGGGACUUAUUCUGUCCAGCAGCCCUGGUGGCCUCAGACCAUCCGAAGCAAGGGUAACCUACCAGUGCCUGUGGAGGUGGUUAAGGCCUCUGGACCCAGACACUUUAGAAAGCUGCUAGAUGUUCCCCACUACAGUGAAGGAUUAAACAAAGAAUGAAGAAGAAGUAGGACUCAAGAAGUAAAUGAUCCAACUCAAGAAAGAGAUGACCAAGUGGAAUACCUUUUAAAGGCUUCAAGACUUUUCUUUCCCACUCCUCCCUGCCCAUGCGAGGGAGGCUCCAUUUUAAAAUGUAACACACACACACAAAAAAACGGAUUUGAAAUAAGGCAUUAGCCUGAGGUAACUUACCCCCACCUUGGCUCCAGAGCAGCUUGGAUUUCCGAUUCUUUGAGCAGGUCAGUGAUUUGGGGAACCAGUAAAAGAGCCGGGCUAUUCUUCUGAAGGUCUCAUGAAAGUCACUUCUUAUGGCCAUAGCGAGAACCAGGAGUGUUCCAGAAUGACUCGCUACAGA